rnacentral:piRNA from 1 species
UGCAAUCAAAUGCUGCCUUAAGCCCAGAUGU